UACUUCAAGUUCAAAAUGUCAACCAGAAUGUAGAAACCAGAGAACACUAACGCGGCUGCUCCUGAGGUUACACAGACAUAGCUGAAGGUGUAUAAUUGCUUAUUUAAAGGAAUAGCAUCUGUGAAGUGGAGAAUAAUUCCUAAAACUAAAAGAGCUAUGCCCAUGCAAAUCCAAUGCAAAAGUCUGGACGAGUGAUCCUUCAUAUGAAUAAGGACAUGUCCAAAAUGAACUCCAAGGACCGUAGAGAGAAUAGCAGAAAUUGAGCUCAGAAUUCCUUCAGGUUCAAAAGGAGCCCAACACCAUGAUGGAGCAUCAUCCUUGAAAGGUCCCUCAUAUGGAGAAUUUUUAGUGCAUGCCUUGGAUCUCUUCCAAGCCGGACGUGGAUACAUGUGAUUGAUUCCAAGUAUCCAUCUAUCAAUAUAACCCACUGCAUUGCAAGGAGGAUCAAGAUUUCCUCUCACAUUGCAAGUUACGGCUAAAGUCUUCCCAAAAUGAACACUGUCCGGGUUCUGGACAACAAAAUUCCAGUCAGGAACAUAUGUUCCAUAUAAUGUGGCCAAGUAAACUACUAAAACACAUGCUCCAAUAACCCAUUGCCAGCUGUAUAACUUAAAAAUGGAGAACCAUCCCGUUGGUAGUUCUUUGGAUUGGGCUUGUCUUGUUGUUAUUUCUAUUACUGCCACUACCAAGUAAGCGAUAGCAAUUCUCUGGAGGAUGCCACACAACCUUAUCCUAUUCAUGUCAACACCAUAUUUUAGCUUGUCAAGAUCAUGGAAAUAACCCCCUUGUAAAAGGAGGCCCCAAAAUAGAAGUUUGAGUGUCCUUAGAAUCACCUUUCUGAUGGCCGCUAGCUUUUCUGGUAUUCUCUUCAGAGCAAGUGCUAUGGCCAUUCCCACAAUAAACAGAAAGAAUGGCAUCACAAAAUCUGCAAGAUUGCAACCAUUCCAUGGUGCAUGCCCGAUCAUAGGCCAUUCUCCUCCCGCAUCAUCAACCAAGACCAUCAGUGCAACAGUGAGGCCUCUGAAAAUAUCAAGGGAAGCAACUCGCUUCGUCUUUUGAGGCUUUACUUCUUCUUCUUUCUCCAUUUCUUGAGAAUCAACUAUCACAUGCUCCAUAUCUACGUUGAUGCCAGCCAUCAACUACACUAACG
rnacentral:misc_RNA from 1 species